GUGGGGCUAGCCGGCAGAGUUGGCGUGGGGUCUCUGUCCUGAGCGGUUCCACGAUGUCGAAGGUUUCCCUUAAGAUCACGCUGACGUCAGACCCGCGGCUCCCUUACAAAGUACUCAGUGUUCCUGAAAGUACCCCUUUCACAGCAGUCUUAAAGUUUGCAGCGGAAGAAUUUAAAAUUCCUGCAGCAACAAGUGCAAUUAUUACCAAUGAUGGAAUAGGAAUAAAUCCUGCACAGAAUGCUGGAAAUGUUUUUCUAAAGCAUGGUUCAGAACUGCGAAUUAUUCCAAGAGAUCGUGUUGGAAGUUGUUAAUAUCCACUACUUGGAGCAUAGGAUUACCUUUCAAAAUAAAUAUUGGUAUUGUUGUUAUAAAACUGAAAUCAGGUGUUUAAAAUACUAUGAAAACAGCAAUUGUUGAUGAAAUAAUGAAAGGAGACUCUCCGUCCCUUCUUGUUAUUCACACUGUUCAUGUGAAGAGGGAAGGCUUAAGCAUUGAGGAUAUCAUCACCACAGAAGAUCAUAGUCUUUCAUUGCUCCCUCACAACACACACGGGUAGUUCAUUUGGGGUAAAUGGAUUAUCCAACUGUGUUUUAUAACUGGAGGAUGCUUCUGAUCAUUCUUUCUGAGAACAUGUGGAAAAUUAAAAUUUACUGAAUCUUCCUAUUUGUCUUUGAGUUAAAAAUUUAAAAGGAUUAUGGAUCGUACGUGG